rnacentral:rRNA from 1 species
CCGAUUGAAUGGUUUAGUGAGAUCUUCGGAUCGGACCCGCUACGUCCGGCAACGGGCGUGGCGGACACCUGAGAAGUCGAUCAAACUUGAUCAUUUAGAGGAAGUAAAAGUCGUAACAAGGUUUCCGUAGGUGAACCUGCGGAAGGAUCAUUACCGUACCGUUUUCGGGGGAUUAUUCCCUGGAUCCACUGUGCACCAGGCUGCGGCCCGCCGAGGGCCGCGUUUGGAGAGGUCGCCCUCGGGUGCGAAGGCGACGCGAGUCGGCGAGAGAGAUCCCUCUGCCGGCCUCUCCGACGCGGUUCAGGGCCGCAGUUCUCAUUUAUUUUUUUUUCAAUCACGUACCGUGGAGUUACCUAGCGGGUCGAGUUUCGUUUCGUAUGUCGAGGAGACAACGUAAAAAAGUUAAGACAACUUCUAACGGUGGACCCCUGGGCUCGUGCGUCGAUGAAGAACGCAGCAAACUGCGAUACGUAGUGUGAAUUGCAGAAUUCCGUGAAUCAUCGAGUCAAAGAACGCAAAUUGCGCCCUCGGUUUGAAGCCGGGGGCACGUCUGUCUGAGCGUCCGUUUCGUUUCCGUCUCCCCUGCGGGCGAAAGCUUCAAACCCAAACGUUUCUUCGCAGGCGGUGGCGCGUUGAGGCAUCGUCCGGACAACGGGCGUCCCUUGAAGUGCGAAGCGCUCCGGUUCGAAGGACUCGCUCAGCUCGAGCGCCCUCCUCGCACCUUGCGCGUCGGGAACUCGACGGCGACAAGGAAGAGGAGGAGCUCGUUCGCGAGGGAUCCGGCGUUCCAGAGCCCACGAAAAUGUUCGGUUUAUCACGAGAAGGAGCCUUUCCCACGGGGAAAGCCCUUUCCAUCCUGGACCUCAGCUCAGGCGUGACUACCCGCUGAAUUUAAGCAUAUCAAUAAGCGGAGGAAAAGAAACCAACAGGGAUUCCCCCAGUAACGGCGAGCGAAGCGGGAAUAGCUCGAGCCUUAAAUCUCCGGCGCACAGCCGGCGAAUUGUAGCCGAGAGAGGCACUUGCGCUCGACGGUCGGUCGACCA